rnacentral:rRNA from 1 species
GUCACACCACGAGAGUUUGUAACACCCGAAGUCGGUGAGGUAACCUUUUGGAGCCAGCCGCCUAAGGUGGGAUAGAUGAUUGGGGUUAAGUCGUAACAAGGUAGCCGUAUCGGAAGGUGCGGCUGGAUCACCUCCUUUCUAAGGAAUAUUACGGA